ACGAACGCUGGCGGCGUGCUUAACACAUGCAAGUCGAACGGAAAGGCCUGCUUUCCCUUGUGGAUUGCGGGUACUCGAGUGGCGAACGGGUGAGUAACACGUGAGUGAUCUGCCCCCAACUUGGGUAUAAGCCUGGGAAACUGGGUCUAAUACCCGAUAGGACUGCAGGGUGGUGCCUGUGGUGGAAAACGAUUUUCUAGUGGUUGGGGAUGAGCUCGCGGCCUAUCAGCUUGUUGGUGGGGUAAUGGCCUACCAAGGCGGCGACGGGUAGCCGGCCUGAGAGGGUGGACGGCCACAUUGGGACUGAGAUACGGCCCAGACUCCUACGGGAGGCAGCAGUGGGGAAUAUUGCACAAUGGGCGGAAGCCUGAUGCAGCGACGCCGCGUGGGGGAUGACGGCCUUCGGGUUGUAAACUCCUUUCGACCGCGAGGAAGCCACCUGGUUGGAAGGGUGGUGACGGUAGUGGUAGAAGAAGCACCGGCUAACUACGUG
rnacentral:rRNA from 1 species